rnacentral:rRNA from 1 species
GCAAGAUACCACGGGCGCACGGCGGAUGCCUUGGCACAGGGAGCCGAUGAAGGACGCGGCAAGCUGCGAUAAUCCCCGGCGAGGAGCACACAUCCUUCGACCCGGGGGUCUCCGAAUGGGCGAACCCAUCCACAGCAGUGUGGAUAUCCCCACCCCGAACACAUAAGGGUGGGGAGGACAACCCGGGGAACUGAAACAUCUAAGUACCCGGAGGAGAGGAAAUCAAUCUCGAGACUCCCCGAGUAGCGGCGAGCGAAAGGGGACCGAUGGCCAAACCGUCGAGCGGGCAUACCCGGCAGGGGUUCCGCCGACGGGGUUGCAGGGCCGCGCAUCCGGGGGCUGCCGCCCCCGGGCGCAGGUCCGGCUGGGGAGCGGAACGGCAUGGGAGGGCCGGCCGCAGCGGGUGACAGCCCCGUACGCGAACCCAGACCGGACGGCGCGACGCGGUCCCUGAGUAGGGCCGGGCACGUGAAACCCGGUCCGAACCUGGGUGGACCACCAUCCAAGCCUGAGUACUACCCUGUGACCGAUAGCGCACCAGUACCGUGAGGGAAAGGUGAAAAGCACCCCGGGAGGGGAGUGAAACAGUACCUGAAACCGUGCGCCCACGAGCAGUCGGAGCACCCUUGUGGUGUGACGGCGUGCCUUUUGUAGAAUGAGCCAGCGAGUCGCUGGCGCGGGGCGAGGUUAACCGAAAGGGAGCCGGAGCGAAAGCGAGCCUUAACAGGGCGACUUGAGUCCCGCGCCGCGGACGCGAAGCCGGGUGAGCUAUCCGUGGGCAGGCUGAAGCGGGGGUAAGACCCCGUGGAGGGCCGAACGCACGUCGGUUGAAAACGGCGGCGAUGACCUGCGGAUAGGGGUGAAAGGCCAAUCAAACCCGGAGAUAUCUCGUUCUCCCCGAAAUAGCUUUAGGGCUAGCGUCGCGCGUUCACCGCCGGAGGUAGAGCACCGGAUGGACGAGGGGGCUUCGCCGCCUACCGAAUCCAACCGAACUCCGAAUGCCGGCGGCCCAGAGCGCGGCAGUCAGAGCAUGUGGGCUAAGCUGUGUGCUCGAGAGGGAAACAGCCCGGACCGCCCGCUAAGGUCCCCAAGUUCCAGCCGAGUGGCAAAGGAUGUGCGUCCGCCCAGACAACCAGGAUGUUGGCUUAGAAGCAGCCAUCCAUUCAAAGAGUGCGUAACAGCUCACUGGUCGAGUGGACAUGCGCCGACAAUACACGGGGCUAAGCUGGACACCGAAGCGGCGGGAUUUUAUCUAUAUAGAAUCGGUAGGGGAGCUUCCCAUGGGCGGUGAAGCCGCCGGGCGACCGGCGGUGGAGCGCAUGGGAGUGAGAAUGCUGGCAUGAGUAGCGAGAGACGAGAGAGUAACUCGUCCGCCGUGAACCCGAGGUUUCCUGGGCAAGGCUAAUCCUCCCAGGGUCAGUCGGGGGCUAAGGCGAGGCCGGGAGGCGUAGCCGACGCGCAGCAGGCAGACAUUCCUGCACCGCGCACGCGGCGCUACGACCGACGGGGCGACGGAUGGGGGUGGCUCGGCGGGGUUCUGGACGUCCCCGUGAUGGAGCGCGGCCCGCGGACCAGGGAAAUCCGGUCCGCACGAGGGCGAGGCUCCGGACGAAGCGAUCAAGCGAAGCGAGUGAGCCCGAGGUCCCCAGAAAAACCCCUAGGCAGGCGCGUGCGCGCCCGUACCGCAAACCGACACAGGUGGGUGGGUAGAACAUACCGAGGCGAUCGGGUCAACCAUGGUCAAGGAACUCGGCACAAUGGCCCCGUAACUUCGGGAGAAGGGGUGCCCGCGCGUACGUGAACCGGCUUGCCCGGGGAGCGGAGGCGGGCCGCAGUGGAGAGGCCCAAGCGACUGUUUACCAAAAACACAGGACUCUGCAGAAGCCGCAAGGCGACGUAUAGGGUCUGACGCCUGCCCGGUGCCGGAAGGUCACGCGGAGGAGUUAGCCGCAAGGCGAAGCCCCGAAGCCAAGCCCCGGUAAACGGCGGCCGUAACUAUAACGGUCCUAAGGUAGCGAAAUUCCUUGUCGGGUAAGUUCCGACCUGC